rnacentral:rRNA from 1 species
UACAGAGGGUGCGAGCGUUGUUCGGAAUUACUGGGCGUAAAGCGCGUGUAGGCGGUUCGGAAAGUCGGGUGUGAAAGCCCUGGGCUCAACCCAGGAAGUGCACUCGAAACUCCCGAGCUAGAGUCCUGGAGAGGAAGGCGGAAUUCUCGGUGUAGAGGUGAAAUUCGUAGAUAUCGAGAGGAACAUCGGUGGCGAAGGCGGCCUUCUGGACGGCGACUGACGCUGAGACGCGAAAGCGUGGGGAGCAAACAGG